UUAGGUGAAAACUAUUAUGCUCAAUAUCAAAAUGAUAUAUAUUUAAAUAAAUUCACAAAUAAACUAUUAAUAAGACUCAACCCCUUAAUGAAAUAUAACCUUAUACAGGCUGGGAUGGAUUUACUGGGGGGUGCACCCCCCCCCCUAGCCCUGGCCAGAGGGGGUGCAGAGGGGGGUGCUAUUUUUUAUGAUAAAGCAAAAAAGACAAAAUGAGAUACAGUAAUUUGAGUAAUAACAUGAGGAUAAAUGAACUGUGAACAACAAUUACAAUUCAAAUACGGGAGUUGAUGGUCGGGUGGCACACAUGACCGACACAACUCGGCAGUCGGCACGAGAGCACACCCCCCCCCCCCUACCAGAUCAUGCUGGAUCCAUCCCUGACCUUAUAUGCUGUUAAAUAGAGUAAUAUAAUGAAAGGGCAGUAGGCAAGUAGGGCACAUUGAAGUUUUGUACUGUAAUGCUCCUCAAAAUGUAAGACAGUAAAGCUGGAUGAAUGUAAAAUAUCACAUUUAUUACCAUUUAGACUGCAAAUGGUAAUGUAAAUUAGCUG